AGCAUUUGGCCCCUGAACAGGGACCUGAAAGGAAGGCUUCCCCCGGCAGAGUGGCCCUGGACAAAGUGGGUUGUUUGGCCAACACCCCUAGAAAAGGAGCUCUGGUCUUCAAGAGAAGACGCUAACAAGAACAUGCAGGAGAACCAGUCUGGGUUCCCAAGAGGAACAUCCGUACCUGUCAGCAUACUGACCAGAGGGAUAGAGACCCUGAGCGUCAAAGGAAAAACUGGUUGGAGAGACAAGCGGAGGAGGAAGGCGAGACCGAGAAGAUGAAGAGCCAAUAAUAAGAUGUUGACUGUCCUUUUUGUAAUGAUGACUAUCGCAGAUGGCUCCGGGACGGAGUCAUGAUUACAUUGGACUUAUAUGCCUUACUCCCCUUCGGUUAAACCUGUAACUUGACCACUAUACUUUUAUUUGUGUAACUCCCUAUUUGCUUUCUAAUACUACCAAUGUAACUCCUGAUCAAAUAUUGAAUGAGCUUCAGGGCACUUGGCAUUCCAAAAAUAUAACAUGGAUGGUAUUGAUCCU